rnacentral:snoRNA from 1 species
UUCACUUUAGUAAUUGAUUCUUUGAGACAUGAUAUAACACUAACUUGAAGAAAAUUACAAGUAUAAUUCAUGAGGAC